CUUGACUCCUUUCUGCUUAAUAAUUUGAAAAUCAAAACUUAAUUGGUCAUAUCAUCAAAAAUAUUAUGUUAAGUGACAUAAGCCAGGCAAAAAGACAAACACGAAGAAUUUUUAAAAGUCCAUUUCAUAGAAAUAGCAGAAUCGUGGUUAUCAUGGGCUAGGCAGGGGAAGGGAGCAGGGCCAAUGAAGAGAGGUUGCUCAACAGGUACAUAAUUACAGUUAGUAGAAGGAAUAAGUUCUAGUGUUCUAUAUAUUUUAAUUUUAUUUUUUUAUUUUUUUUGAGACAGGGUCUUGCUCUGCCACCCAGGCUGGAGUGCAGUGGCACAAUUAUAGCCCACUGCAGCCUUGGCUUCCUGAGCUCAAGAGAUCCUCCCACCUUAGCCUCCCAAGUAACUGGGACUACAGUUUCAGGUAUGUCUUUAUCAGCAGUAUGAAAAUGGACUGAUACACAUGCCAUACCUAUAUUUCUGACUUACAAAAGCAUGAGCUAAUAAACAUGUGCUGUUUUAAACUGCUACGUUCAUGCUUCCUCUCAGUAUCUGAUGACAAUGAGAAAUGCAUUUGAAGAGAUAAACACUUCCCGAAAGACCAUCAUGAUAGGAGCUGAUACUCACAGAUGCCUUAGUGAAUGAUUACGUCUCAGGAUGCCAUAAGGAAUACACAGAAGGGUACAAUCUCAAGCCUGGCAUGGCAGAUGGGCUUGGCCAUGAAAACUCCUUACCAGAGAACAUGAGUCCGUGGCUCUAAAAACAACUACAACCCAAGUACAGACACAAAGAGCCUAGUAUGAAGUCAGUUGCACAGACGCAGCCCUGGUAUACAGUGGACUCACAGCCUCUUGUUUCUAAUAAUUUCCCAGAACACCCGUGUGGUAAGCUUUUUGGUGGAACUGAUUAUGAUAAUCUGGAGUGAAGUUUAGAGUUUGAGUAAGAAAUGAAGUAGUGAAUGAGCAAUGGCAGCAGCAGCAAGUUCUGUGCUUCCCUCAGCUGAUUUCCAUUCAUGGGACCUGUUAUGUUAGGUAGACCCACUCUGGGGCUGCUUUCCAUCAUUCAUGCCCUGUCACGCAGGCUGACACCAGAUACUUUGAUAUGGUGAAGAAGGACCUAUUUAGGUAAAUGAAAUUCCCAAAGGUUUAUGAAUAUGGACUCUAGAAGGGGAGGAGAUCUUGUCCCCAAAUCUUUCAUUUGCAUAUCCUGCUAAACUUACCUGUCAUUAACAGUAUUCUAUCAAUCCUGUUAAUGUUGUAAAUGUUUAGCGUUCUAAGGUAUAUAUUGGUAAGUUCUGACAACACUGCUGUUCCAUAGUAAAUCUAACUGAUUUAAAAGCAGGAGUCAGAUAAUGGAAACAGAUCUGGAGGCAGGGUUUGAGGCCCUGCAAGUACAUAAAAGAAACAAUUAGGUAUGUUUCUUGGCCUGAUUUUCUAGGGACCAAGUAGGAUAAAGUAACCAUCGGGGGGGAUGUACAGAAUAUCAAACUUCUUAUCAUAAAAUAUUGACUUACCAGCUGCAGUAAGGUGAAGCUUUCUUAGACAUGGAAUUCUUAGAAUAGCCAUAUCUGGUCUCUUAAUAUCACCUAUGAGCCAUGUGUCAUUCAGCACAUUUAUAACAGCAUAUGGCUAAGAACAAGGUCUGGGAACAUGGUGCAGUGUCAAAUACAGAUACAUCAUUUACUAAAAGUUAAUUCUACUGUGCUGAGAAAACAUAUUUAAUGGGCAAUAUCUAUGUCCAAAAACAACUACUGAAUGACAGGCAAGCUUGAUUGGAAAGACAUAAGGCAGUACACAAAAGAAAAAUUGUAAGGACACAAGCAAGAGACCUACAGUGGAUGUGGUGUGGCUGUGGAAUGCUUGGGGGAAAAAAAUGAACGCAUAAUCAGUUUGAAGUAAUUGCAGUAAGAGGAAUGACUCAUUUUGAGCAAGGACAGCCUUUGAAAGAAAAGGAGUCAUAAACAGAGUUGGCAAUGAUUAUUAACUUCCAUUUGUAUGCUGCACAACACAUUCCAAAACACUUCCACAUGUUUUAUCUUAGUCGAAUUGGAAAACAAUCCUGAAAGUCAGAAAAAGCAGGUAUUGUUCUCCCUGUUUUGUAUGCAAGGAAAGGAAUGCAGAGAGGUUAAUUGACUGGCCGAGGUCACAUUGCUAGUUAGAGAACCAGCAAGGAAGAGAACCUAGGUUUCCAGAAUCUCAGUGUAAUGUAUUUUAACCACCCCUGGCUGCACACAGCAGUUUUGCUGAACAAAGAAAUUCUUCACUUAUGUACAGCUUAGAGAACCCUGGCGUUUUUAUCCAGCCUCUUCCUAUUAAUAACAAUGAUGUCAAUUUCACCCCUCUCCAGCUAUGAAAUCAUAUGACCCCAGAGGUCACUGGGUUCAUCCACCAUCACACAACGUUCACCAGCCCAAGAUCAAAUUAACCUUUUUGCAUUACUACCAAAAUGUUUACUCCUAUUCACCUUAAGGCCAAACAUACACUUCAUAGACAUGUAUGAUGCAUAGAAUUACUUAGCUUUACUUAGAAAAAUAGAAUCCUUGCUAAAGAACACAUUCCAAUUGCUUUACCUUGGUGGAGAGGAGACAUAAGAAGAAUAUGAGGUAAUUACAAUGUCUAUUAUGACCUCAGGCUAUAGGCCUUAAAACACCACCUUAAAAAUACAAAAGGAUAGUUGAUGUUUAUUUUCCGACCUAACUUGUAAUUUGCUAUAUUCCAUAUAUCUAAAUCAAAUUCCACUGCAAUCAGAGCUAGAAUUCCACAGCAAUCAAUGCCUGCAGUCAGGCUGGAAAAAAACAGUUGCAUUUGGGUGUCUAAUCACUACCUGUCAAUACCUGCUGUUGAACAGGAGUGGGCUCCACUUUCAAUUGUCAAACAAUUGAUUUUUCCAGGCGAUGUGGAUGAAGUGGACAAGAAAAGCUCCUGUGUUUUUAUCCACGACCCUCCUGCUUGGAACAACUGAACCCCAAAUCAAAAUAAUUUCACUCCACAUCCUAAUUAUAUCAGUUGUCAACAUCUCUAGCAUCAAAAAUAUCCCGUUUAUUCCAGUUCAGUAUGUCAAGCACAAGAAAAUAUAAUCACAAGUGGGAGCGAAAAGAAACAUGAUGUGAAUCGAGAGAGCUGUUUUGCAUGAGGCAAAACUGCACUGUAGUUUGCAUUCGAAUCUAUUUCAGCAUUUGAAGAUAUGCAAUUCUUCUCCUACAAGGGUAUUAUAAUUGAUUGUGUGAUUUGUAUAAAUAAAUGAGGCUUAAAAGAAAACCACAUGACUUAAAGUUCUUUCACUAGUAAGAAUAUGUGUAAUUUGUUCUCCAGUUGGAGACUUAGAAUACUGCUGGAAAAACCUAAAUUUGUUUAAUGUUCUGCCUCUUUCCUCAUUGGCUGCCUAAUGUUUUUAAUCUAUUCAGUUCAGACCAUUUCUGAUUGAUGGG
rnacentral:lncRNA from 1 species